UACGUAGGGCGCAAGCGUUGUCCGGAAUUAUUGGGCGUAAAGAGCUCGUAGGCGGUCUGUCACGUCUGCUGUGAAAACCCGGGGCUUAACCCCGGGCUUGCAGUGGAUACGGGCAGACUAGAGGCAGGUAGGGGAGAAUGGAAUUCCCGGUGUAGCGGUGAAAUGCGCAGAUAUCGGGAGGAACACCGGUGGCGAAGGCGGUUCUCUGGGCCUGACCUGACGCUGAGGCACGAAAGCGUGGGGAGCAAACAGG
rnacentral:rRNA from 1 species